rnacentral:piRNA from 1 species
AGGAACAACAUAUAUGAAAUAGUGUUCCACU